GUUAACUAACCCUAACCCUUCGUUUCUUCAUCAAGGACCAAGGUUGUUGCUUUCUUCAUCAAGGAUUCAAGGUUGUAGAACAGUAGAAGACCUUCAAGUGGAUUUAUCUUCAGGGAUUUCAACCCUAGUCAAUUUCAUCUCUAAUCACCACCACCAGGUCUACCACGAAGAAUUAUCGAUCUUGAUAGAAAACGACCAGUUAGUGUGUGAUUUUGGAAGCAGAAGCUCAUCUGACUAUCUAAUUAGUACUAGAGUACUCGAUUGAGGAAAUCCAAUUUCCACUGCGAGGAUACCAGUGCACACAUCGAUUUAUGCCACCAAGUUGUGAUUCAUAAGUGCUUCCCUUAGGUAUGCUAUCCACUACCACUAACCAGUUCAUAUCUUAUACUCCAUUGACAACAAUAUCCUGAUAUUUCCAGUAGACUGAAGUUUUUGAAAGAAUCCAAGAUUAAGAAAGAAUAAGGGAGUUUGGAGGGUUCUACAGUUCUACUUAUCUUAUGUUUUGGUUUCUAUUUUCUUUCAGUCACA